rnacentral:rRNA from 1 species
UACGUAGGGUCCGAGCGUUGUCCGGAAUUAUUGGGCGUAAAGGGCUCGUAGGCGGUUCGUCACGUCGGGAGUGAAAACUCGGGGCUUAACCCCGAGCCUGCUUCCGAUACGGGCAGACUAGAGGUAGGCAGGGGAGAGCGGAACUCCUGGUGUAGCGGUGGAAUGCGCAGAUAUCAGGAAGAACACCGGUGGCGAAGGCAGUUCUCUGGGCCGUAACUGACGCUGAGGAGCGAAAGCGUGGGGAGCGAACAGG